rnacentral:rRNA from 1 species
UACGUAGGGUGCAAGCGUUAUCCGGAAUUAUUGGGCGUAAAGAGCUCGUAGGCGGUUCGUCGCGUCGGCUGUGAAAUCCCGAGGCUCAACCUCGGGUCUGCAGUCGAUACGGGCGGACUGGAGUUCGGCAGGGGAGACUGGAAUUCCUGGUGUAGCGGUGAAAUGCGCAGAUAUCAGGAGGAACACCGGUGGCGAAGGCGGGUCUCUGGGCCGAUACUGACGCUGAGGAGCGAAAGCGUGGGGAGCGAACAGG